rnacentral:tRNA from 1 species
GCCAGUGUUGCUCAGUGGAUAGAGCAUCAGCCUGUGGACUGGAGGGUCCUGGGUUCGAUUCCAGUCAAGGGCA